GAAUCAUCUGGAAAGAUGAAUCAAAGAAGGUAAUAAUCCUGUAGUCGAAAAUGUUGUCUCUCUUGAGUGGAUCCUGAGUACGACGGAGCACGUGAAAUUCCGUCGGAAUCUGGGAGGACCAUCUCCUAAGGCUAAAUACUCUCUAGUGACCGAUAGUGAACCAGUACCGUGAGGGAAAGGUGAAAAGCACCCCGGAAGGGGAGUGAAAUAGAACCUGAAACCGUGUGCUUACAAGUAGUCAGAGCCCGUUAAUGGGUGAUGGCGUGCCUUUUGUAGAAUGAACCGGCGAGUUACGAUUUGAUGCAAGGUUAAGCAGUAAAUGUGGAGCCGUAGCGAAAGCGAGUCUGAAUAGGGCGUUUAGUAUUUGGUCGUAGACCCGAAACCAGGUGAUCUACCCUUGGUCAGGUUGAAGUUCAGGUAACACUGAAUGGAGGACCGAACCGACUUACGUUGAAAAGUGAGCGGAUGAACUGAGGGUAGCGGAGAAAUUCCAAUCGAACCUGGAGAUAGCUGGUUCUCUCCGAAAUAGCUUUAGGGCUAGCCUCAAGUGAUGAUUAUUGGAGGUAGAGCACUGUUUGGACGAGGGGCCCCUCUCGGGUUACCGAAUUCAGACAAACUCCGAAUGCCAAUUAAUUUAACUUGGGAGUCAGAACAUGGGUGAUAAGGUCCGUGUUCGAAAGGGAAACAGCCCAGACCACCAGCUAAGGUCCCAAAAUAUAUGUUAAGUGGAAAAGGAUGUGGCGUUGCCCAGACAACUAGGAUGUUGGCUUAGAAGCAGCCAUCAUUUAAAGAGUGCGUAAUAGCUCACUAGUCGAGUGACACUGCGCCGAAAAUGUACCGGGGCUAAACAUAUUACCGAAGCUGUGGAUUGUCCUUUGGACAAUGGUAGGAGAGCGUUCUAAGGGCGUUGAAGCAUGAUCGUAAGGACAUGUGGAGCGCUUAGAAGUGAGAAUGCCGGUGUGAGUAGCGAAAGACGGGUGAGAAUCCCGUCCACCGAUUGACUAAGGUUUCCAGAGGAAGGCUCGUCCGCUCUGGGUUAGUCGGGUCCUAAGCUGAGGCCGACAGGCGUAGGCGAUGGAUAACAGGUUGAUAUUCCUGUACCACCUAUAAUCGUUUUAAUCGAUGGGGGGACGCAGUAGGAUAGGCGAAGCGUGCGAUUGGAUUGCACGUCUAAGCAGUAAGGCUGAGUAUUAGGCAAAUCCGGUACUCGUUAAGGCUGAGCUGUGAUGGGGAGAAGACAUUGUGUCUUCGAGUCGUUGAUUUCACACUGCCGAGAAAAGCCUCUAGAUAGAAAAUAGGUGCCCGUACCGCAAACCGACACAGGUAGUCAAGAUGAGAAUUCUAAGGUGAGCGAGCGAACUCUCGUUAAGGAACUCGGCAAAAUGACCCCGUAACUUCGGGAGAAGGGGUGCUCUUUAGGGUUAACGCCCAGAAGAGCCGCAGUGAAUAGGCCCAAGCGACUGUUUAUCAAAAACACAGGUCUCUGCUAAACCGUAAGGUGAUGUAUAGGGGCUGACGCCUGCCCGGUGCUGGAAGGUUAAGAGGAGUGGUUAGCUUCUGCGAAGCUACGAAUCGAAGCCCCAGUAAACGGCGGCCGUAACUAUAACGGUCCUAAGGUAGCGAAAUUCCUUGUCGGGUAAGUUCCGACCCGCACGAAAGGCGUAACGAUUUGGGCACUGUCUCAACGAGAGACUCGGUGAAAUCAUAGUACCUGUGAAGAUGCAGGUUACCCGCGACAGGACGGAAAGACCCCGUGGAGCUUUACUGUAGCCUGAUAUUGAAAUUCGGCACAGCUUGUACAGGAUAGGUAGGAGCCUUUGAAACGUGAGCGCUAGCUUACGUGGAGGCGCUGGUGGG
rnacentral:rRNA from 1 species